ensembl:misc_RNA Y_RNA Y RNA
GGCUGGUCCGAGUGCAGUGGUGUUUACAACUAAUUGAUCACAACCAGUUACAGAUUUCUUUGUUCCUUCUCCACUCCCACUGCUUCACUUGACUAGCCUUAA